GCCCGAGUAGCUCAAAUUAGCAGAGCACCUCACCUGUAAUGAGGAUGUUGGGGGUGCAAGUCCUCUCUCGGGCU
rnacentral:tRNA from 1 species